GCUUAACUGGACCGUCCUCGUAAUUUAGGUGCCAUUUUCCUUAAAGUAGCCAACCAUGCGCUUUCUGGAUGUACUGACCUUGCAGAAUUCUGAUGACAUGAGGUGCAUAGUUUCUGUUGUGAAGAUUCUCGCGUCAGCCGAGAGGCUGAAGAUUGAAUGGGCUAUAGCGAGUGAAUUAUCCUCUCAUCCUGAGAAGUGGGCCUCCCAGGGCAGAGAUGAAGCAUCCGGCGCGGUGCCUGGCGGGAAGGCGACUGUUGCCCAGGCUCCUGGUGCUGUGUGUGACCAGAGGGCAUCAGUGAGGAGUGUAGCUUGCCAUUUGCUAGAAUGAAUCUGCUUGUGCCCAGCCUCACGGGAACAAAAGGUCACGGAAGCAAAAAGACCUGGGGCUGAGAGAGAAUGUGGGGUACCUAAGGACACUGUCUUCUAGCACCUUUCUGUGACUGGCACAGGCUGGCAGACCAAGCUGCUUCCACUGACCCGCAGAAAAGGCCGGCCUUACCCCGAAUGAACCUCCAGCACGCCAGCCCUCUCUUCGGAAACGAAAAAAGCCAAGGGCUCGCCUGACGACCUACCGUAAAACAACGUUGAAC
rnacentral:lncRNA from 1 species